AUUGAACGCUGGCGGCAUGCCUUACACAUGCAAGUCGAACGGCAGCACGGGUGCUUGCACCUGGUGGCGAGUGGCGAACGGGUGAGUAAUACAUCGGAACAUGUCCUGUAGUGGGGGAUAGCCCGGCGAAAGCCGGAUUAAUACCGCAUACGAUCUACGGAUGAAAGCGGGGGACCUUCGGGCCUCGCGCUAUAGGGUUGGCCGAUGGCUGAUUAGCUAGUUGGUGGGGUAAAGGCCUACCAAGGCGACGAUCAGUAGCUGGUCUGAGAGGACGACCAGCCACACUGGGACUGAGACACGGCCCAGACUCCUACGGGAGGCAGCAGUGGGGAAUUUUGGACAAUGGGCGAAAGCCUGAUCCAGCAAUGCCGCGUGUGGGAAGAAGGCCUUCGGGUUGUAAAGCACUUUUGUCCGGAAAGAAAUCCUUGGCCCUAAUACGGUCGGGGGAUGACGGUACCGGAAGAAUAAGCACCGGCUAACUACGUG
rnacentral:rRNA from 1 species